rnacentral:rRNA from 1 species
GCUUUAGUGGCGGACUGGUGAGUAACACGUAAGCAACCUGCCUGUUAGAGGGGAAUAACAACGAGAAAUCGUUGCUAAUACCGCAUAUGCCAUAUGAACCACAUGGUUCAAGUGGGAAAGGAGUAAUCCGCUAACAGAUGGGCUUGCGUCUGAUUAGAUAGUUGGUGGGGUAACGGCCUACCAAGUCGACGAUCAGUAGCCGGACUGAGAGGUUCAACGGCCACAUUGGGACUGAGAUACGGCCCAGACUCCUACGGGAGGCAGCAGUCGGGAAUAUUGCGCAAUGGAGGAAACUCUGACGCAGUGACGCCGCGUAUAGGAAGAAGGUUUUCGGAUUGUAAACUAUUGUCUGCAGGGAAGAAAAAAGACUGUACCUGCAAAGAAAGCUCCGGCUAACUACGUGCCAGCAGCCGCGGUAAUACGUAGGGAGCAAGCGUUAUCCGGAUUUAUUGGGUGUAAAGGGUGCGUAGACGGGAAAUUAAGUUAGUUGUGAAAUCCCUCGGCUCAACUGAGGAACUGCAACUAAAACUGAUUUUCUUGAGUGCAGGAGAGGAAAGUGGAAUUCCUAGUGUAGCGGUGAAAUGCGUAGAUAUUAGGAGGAACACCAGUGGCGAAGGCGACUUUCUGGACUGUAACUGACGUUGAGGCACGAAAGUGUGGGGAGCAAACAGGAUUAGAUACCCUGGUAGUCCACACUGUAAACGAUGAGUGCUAAGUGUUAGAGGGUUUCCGCCCUUUAGUGCUGCAGCUAACGCAUUAAGCACUCCGCCUGGGGAGUACGGCCGCAAGGCUGAAACUCAAAGGAAUUGACGGGGGCCCGCACAAGCGGUGGAGCAUGUGGUUUAAUUCGAAGCAACGCGAAGAACCUUACCAGGUCUUGACAUCCUCUGACAAUCCUAGAGAUAGGACGUUCCCCUUCGGGGGACAGAGUGACAGGUGGUGCAUGGUUGUCGUCAGCUCGUGUCGUGAGAUGUUGGGUUAAGUCCCGCAACGAGCGCAACCCUUGAUCUUAGUUGCCAGCAUUCAGUUGGGCACUCUAAGGUGACUGCCGGUGAUAAACCGGAGGAAGGUGGGGAUGACGUCAAAUCAUCAUGCCCCUUAUGACCUGGGCUACACACGUGCUACAAUGGAUGGUACAAAGAGCUGCAAACCCGCGAGGGUAAGCGAAUCUCAUAAAGCCAUUCUCAGUUCGGAUUGCAGGCUGCAACUCGCCUGCAUGAAGCCGGAAUCGCUAGUAAUCGCGGAUCAGCAUGCCGCGGUGAAUACGUAGGCGGGCCUUGUACUCACCGCCCGUCA